CCCCGGUAAACGGCGGCCGUAACUAUAACGGUCCUAAGGUAGCGAAAUUCCUUGUCGGGUAAGUUCCGACCUGCACGAAUGGCGUAAUGAUGGCCAGGCUGUCUCCACCCGAGACUCAGUGAAAUUGAACUCGCUGUGAAGAUGCAGUGUACCCGCGGCAAGACGGAAAGACCCCGUGAACCUUUACUAUAGCUUGACACUGAACAUUGAGCCUUGAUGUGUAGGAUAGGUGGGAGGCUUUGAAGUGUGGACGCCAGUCUGCAUGGAGCCGACCUUGAAAUACCACCCUUUAAUGUUUGAUGUUCUAACGUGGACCCGUAAUCCGGGUUGCGGACAGUGUCUGGUGGGUAGUUUGACUGGGGCGGUCUCCUCCUAAAGAGUAACGGAGGAGCACGAAGGUUGGCUAAUCCUGGUCGGACAUCAGGAGGUUAGUGCAAUGGCAUAAGCCAGCUUGACUGCGAGCGUGACGGCGCGAGCAGGUGCGAAAGCAGGUCAUAGUGAUCCGGUGGUUCUGAAUGGAAGGGCCAUCGCUCAACGGAUAAAAGGUACUCCGGGGAUAACAGGCUGAUACCGCCCAAGAGUUCAUAUCGACGGCGGUGUUUGGCACCUCGAUGUCGGCUCAUCACAUCCUGGGGCUGAAGUAGGUCCCAAGGGUAUGGCUGUUCGCCAUUUAAAGUGGUACGCGAGCUGGGUUUAGAACGUCGUGAGACAGUUCGGUCCCUAUCUGCCGUGGGCGCUGGAGAACUGAGGGGGGCUGCUCCUAGUACGAGAGGACCGGAGUGGACGCAUCACUGGUGUUCGGGUUGUCAUGCCAAUGGCACUGCCCGGUAGCUAAAUGCGGAAGAGAUAAGUGCUGAAAGCAUCUAAGCACGAAACUUGCCCCGAGAUGAGUUCUCCCUGAGACUUAGAGUCUCCUGAAGGAACGUUGAAGACGACGACGUUGAUAGGCCGGGUGUGUAAGCGCAGCGAUG
rnacentral:rRNA from 3 species